UACGUAGACCUCAAGCGUUAUCCGGAUUUAUUGGGCGUAAAGCGCGUGCAGGAGGUUCUGCGCGUCUCAUGUUAAAUCCCACCGCCCAACGGUGGACGUGCAUGGGAUACGGCAGGACUUGAGGGGGUUAGAGGUGAGCGGAACGUACGGUGUAGGGGUGAAAUCCGUUGAUAUCGUACGGAACACCAAAGGCGAAGGCAGCUCACUGGGACCUUCCUGACUCUAAGACGCGAAAGCGUGGGGAGCAAAAAGG
rnacentral:rRNA from 1 species